GACGAACGCUGGCGGCAUGCCUAAUACAUGCAAGUCGAGCGAACAGGUGAAGUGCUUGCACUUCUGACGUUAGCGGCGAACGGGUGAGUAACACGUAAGGAAUCUACCUAUAAGCGGGGGAUAACAUUCGGAAACGGGUGCUAAUACCGCAUAAUAUCUCCUUCCGCAUGGAAGAAGAUUGAAAGACGGCUCUGCUGUCACUUAUAGAUGACCUUGCGGUGCAUUAGUUAGUUGGUGGGGUAACGGCCUACCAAGACGAUGAUGCAUAGCCGACCUGAGAGGGUGAUCGGCCACAUUGGGACUGAGACACGGCCCAAACUCCUACGGGAGGCAGCAGUAGGGAAUCUUCCGCAAUGGGCGAAAGCCUGACGGAGCAAUGCCGCGUGAGUGAAGAAGGCCUUCGGGUCGUAAAACUCUGUUAUAAGAGAAGAACAAAUUGUAGAGUAACUGCUACAGUCUUGACGGUAUCUUAUCAGAAAGCCACGGCUAACUAC
rnacentral:rRNA from 1 species